GAUAACAGACUGAUCUUCCCCAAGAGCUCACAUCGACUGGAAGGUUUGUCACCUCGAUGU
rnacentral:rRNA from 1 species